rnacentral:rRNA from 1 species
AACGAUCGCUGGCGGCAUGCCUUACACAUGCAAGUCGAACGGUAACAGGUCUUCGGAUGCUGACGAGUGGCGAACGGGUGAGUAAUACAUCGGAACGUGCCUAGUAGUGGGGGAUAACUACUCGAAAGAGUGGCUAAUACCGCAUGAGAUCUACGGAUGAAAGCAGGGGAUCGCAAGACCUUGUGCUACUAGAGCGGCCGAUGGCAGAUUAGGUAGUUGGUGGGAUAAAAGCUUACCAAGCCGACGAUCUGUAGCUGGUCUGAGAGGACGAUCAGCCACACUGGGACUGAGACACGGCCCAGACUCCUACGGGAGGCAGCAGUGGGGAAUUUUGGACAAUGGGCGAAAGCCUGAUCCAGCAAUGCCGCGUGCAGGAUGAAGGCCUUCGGGUUGUAAACUGCUUUUGUACGGAACGAAAAGCCCCGGGUUAAUACCCUGGGGUCAUGACGGUACCGUAAGAAUAAGCACCGGCUAACUACGUGCCAGCAGCCGCGGUAAGAC